rnacentral:lncRNA from 1 species
CAAGUACGGUAUACCGUACGUAGAUCUACAGCUGUUCUGUAUGCAUAUCGCUCGUGUCUGGCCAGGCUAUUUGAACUGUAAAGUGUAACUCAAGCGAGUGUACAGUCUACAUCUUCAAGAAAAUUUAAAAGAGCCAGUCAUGUCUGAAAAGAAGAAUCGAGGAGGUCCAUACAAGACUACACCUGCCACUGAUCUGUCAAGAUGGCGGCUCACUAAUACGAACGGUCGUCAAACUUGGCAAUACUACCCAGAAGGGGAAGAACCUGGACGUCCACAAAAUUUUGUUGAAAAGUUCUCCCUUGGACUAAACAUUGAUGAUGAAGCCCCACCACUACCCAGAGCUAAGACUGCUGAAGAAGCUGCUAAGAAUGGUAUGAAGUUUUACUCCAAGCUACAAACAGAAGAUGGUCAUUGGGCGGGCGAUUACGGUGGUCCACUCUUUCUUCUACCAGGUUUAGUCAUCGUGUGUUUCAUAACCGGUGUAGUCCUCCCUGAUGCGUCCAAGAAGGAGAUGGUGCGUUACCUUCGAUCAGUUCAGUGCCCUGAUGGCGGCUGGGGCUUACACAUUGAGGAUCAUGCUACUGUGUUUGGCACAGCAAUGAACUACGUGACGAUGAGACUACUGGGUGUCUCAAAGGAUGAUGAGGAUCUCAAGAAAGCAAGGAAACUUCUUCUAGAGAUGGGUGGUGCUGAGAGCAUUCCAUCUUGGGGCAAGUUCUGGCUCUGUGUUCUCAAUCUUUACAAAUGGGAGGGCAUGCACUGCUUGUUUCCUGAAAUAUGGUUGUUUCCCACUUGGCUUCCUGCUCACCCAUCCACUAUCUGGUGUCAUUGUCGACAGGUUUAUCUUCCAAUGGGAUUCUUUUAUGGGAUCAAGUUCCAGGCCGAAGAAAAUCAGCUCACCAGGGAGCUCAGAAAGGAAAUUUUCAAGGCCGACUAUUCGAGCAUUCAUUGGCCAUCCCAGCGAGAUAACAUCUCUAAGUUUGAUCUUUACACACCACAUAGUUGGUUGUACAACAUUGCAAUGGCGAUCUUGGAUUUGUAUGAGAAGUUUCAUUCUACCUGGUUGAGAAAGAAGGCAUUGGAUCACUGCUAUGAACACAUCAAAGCUGAUGAUGAAUUCACUAACGGAAUCAGUGUUGGUCCAAUCUCUAAAGUGAUUCAGAUGUUGGCAAGAUGGCAUAUUGAUGGAGCUGACUCAGAAGCUUUCAAGAUGCACAAGGAUAGACUCCCAGACUACUUGUGGAUUGGUCUAGAUGGCAUGAAAAUGCAGGGAACCAAUGGCUCUCAGCUUUGGGAUACAGCCUUUGUCAUACAAGCUUUCUUAGAGGCUGGCGGCGAGGGAGAGUUCAAGGAUACUUUAAGCAAGGCUCAUGACUUCUUAAAGAACACGCAGAUACCAGAGAACCCUCCGAACUAUCAAAAGUACUACCGCCAGAUGAGCAAGGGUGGUUAUCCCUUUUCAACCAAAGACUGUGGAUGGAUUGUUUCAGACUGUACUGCAGAAGGUCUUAAGUCCGCCAUGCUGCUGGAGGAGAAGUGCCCUUUUAUCUCUGAUCAUAUAGGCAAAGAGAGACAUUGCCAAGCCAUUGAUGUGUUGAUUGAUAUGCGUAACCCGGAUGGUGGGUUUGCUACAUAUGAGACCACGAGAGGAGGAUAUAUCCUUGAGAAUCUAAAUCCAUCAGAAGUUUUCGGUGAUAUCAUGAUAGACUACACAUAUGUGGAGUGUACAGUAGCCGUCCUGCUUGCCCUUCACCAUUUCCAUACUCAAUAUCCUGAGUACAGGACUGACGAGAUAAGAUCAGUCAUGGACCAAGCUCUUGAUUACAUCAAAGGAAAACAGCAACCAGAUGGAUCAUGGGAAGGGUCGUGGGGAGUCUGUUUCACAUACGCUGCCUGGUUUGGUCUGGAAGGAUUUGGCUCCAUGGGGCUUAGAUAUGACAAAGAUCUUGCUAGCAGUGAAGUGAAGAAAGCUUGUCAGUUCUUGGUUUCUAAGCAGAUGGAAGAUGGAGGAUGGGGAGAGAAAUUUGAGUCGUGCGAGGAGCGACGCUACGUCCAGUGUGAGACAUCACAAGUUAUCAACACAUGCUGGGCCUUGCUAGGUCUUAUGGCAGUCAGGUACCCUGACCGUAGAGUGAUGGAUCGUGGCAUACAGCUCAUCAUGUCAAGACAAAUUGAGAAUGGAGACUGGCCCCAGGAGAACAUCAAUGGUGUAUUCAACAAGUCGUGCGCUAUCAGCUACACCAACUAUCGCAAUAUCUUCCCCAUCUGGACUCUAGGACGCUACGCCAAACUAUAUCCAAACGAUGCAUCUCCCUUAGAAGACAAGUCGGACAGUAACAGCUCAGACUGGGAAAAACUCUAGUCUUCUCGGUUGAUGAAAAAGUCAAACCUGCUAUAGCCACCACCUGUAUAGAAAGAUUACCUGUCUAUAAAGACCACCUGUCUGUAAAGACCACAUUCUUUGUGUCCCUCAUAUAUGGUUUCUCCUUGAAACAUGUACUAAAGGAACCUUCACAUAAAGACCACCUGCCUAUAAAGAUCACUUUUCAUGUUUCCCUGGAGCGGUCUUUAUAGACAGGUUUCACUGUACAACCCUGAUUAGACAGACCCUUUCCAUACAUAGGCUAAUCCUGAGGACCUUGCUCUUCACCAAUCAAUGAUAAAUGUUUUGAUGAGGGAUAUCAAUUGUUCUUUCCUUCAAAGGGAAUUUUUUUAAUUGUAGAUUUUGAAAGGUAACGCUGUAAUGAAAGGAAUGAAAGAAAAACAUAACUCUUUGAAGACUAUGACCCUUCAAUUUUGUUAUUUGAAUAAAUUAGUGAUAAUUUUGGUCCCUUAUAGUUCCAAAAAGAAUAUAUAGUUAAAAGUAGUAGUGGUAAUAGUAGUUAUGGCAGCAGUAGUAUUAGUAGUAAUAGUAGUAUUAUUAGUGGUACUAUUAGUAAUGAUUUAUUGGAAAAUACAUUUGCAGUCAACUGAUGGAAUUGCAGAAUUUUAUAUAGAGUAGAAAAAAUGCAGAUGGCAGCUUAUCAUACAUAGCGAAUGAUGUCUUUCUCAUGAGUUAAAGUAUCAAAUUAGAGUGGUAAUGCAUUUUGUUUCAAUUGAACAAAUCAGUUACGUAUAUGUAGGCUCAUAUAAAUAUAGUUCACAAAACAGUGAGGAGCAUUUGUAUGAAAACAUUACGCCAUAGAUGAUUAUCCCCAUCAUGAAAUACUGUGUAUAUAUUUAUGUUAAAGAUAUUGAGAUCAAAGUGCAAAGUACACCAGUA